rnacentral:tRNA from 1 species
GGGCCUGUGGCUCAGCCAGGUAGAGAGGAAACCUGCAGCGGCUGGCUCUUAACCAGUAGGUCGUGGGUUCAAAUCCCACCAGGCCCGCCA